UUACAUUGAAGCCUAGCGAUGUGUAAGUUAGUGGCGGACGGGUGAGUAACGCGUGGGUAACCUGCCUUGUACUGGGGGACAACAGUUGGAAACGACUGCUAAUACCGCAUAAGCGCACAGGAUUGCAUGAUCCAGUGUGAAAAACUCCGGUGGUAUGAGAUGGACCCGCGUCUGAUUAGCUUGUUGGUGAGGUAACGGCUCACCAAGGCGACGAUCAGUAGGGGUUCUGAGAGGAAGGUCCCCACAUUGGAACUGAGACACGGUCCAAACUCC
rnacentral:rRNA from 1 species